UCCUCCUCCAUCGCACAUCUUUUCCGACUGCCUUCGUCCAUUCUUCUUUGUCUGAACUUUGUGCGUCUUCAUGCGUCUUUUCCAUAGCGCCCAGCUUGAAUUUGUGCUCGUAAACCAGCUCUUAAUGAUAGGAUAUGGCAGAAGCUCCAUUGUUGCCAGUGAUCGAAGAAGAGGAAACAGACGAUGAGUUCUACAAAAAGAUCGAAGUGUUCGAGUUCAUUGACUUCAACGCACUAGAGAUUCUCACGAAGAUCGCUACUGGUUUUGCUCUCGCAUCGGAUGUGACCAAAAUCAUGAAGAAGAGUUGGACACUGAAGCAAUCUACAAGAAUGUUGUUCUUCGGAUGUGGCAGCAAGAUGUCCCAAUGUUCGCCUCAGAAGAACACUGAAUAAAAGAGAAGCAAGUGCAAAUCUGAAAUGCCCACUUACAGUCUUUAUUGAAUUGAAGGGUAGAUGAUUCUCGAACUAGAACCACACAUUCUCUCAUUUCGGUUUUUGUACACUUCAAACACCACUGGGGUUGAGGAAUUGUCUUGGGUGUGAUUAACUUGCUUGGGUUGAUGUUCACGUUUCUAGUGUCGGAGAUGAAGGCCUUGUACUAUUUUUUAGGCGCAUCGUAGCCGAUGUAAAAUAAAUCACGAAUUUUAAAACAUAUAA